rnacentral:rRNA from 1 species
UACAGAGGUCUCAAGCGUUGUUCGGAUUCAUUGGGCGUAAAGGGCGCGUAGGCGGCGGGGUAAGUCGGGUGUGAAAUCUCAGAGCUCAACUCUGAAAUGGCACUUGAUACUGCUCUGCUAGAGUACGGAAGAGGCGAGUGGAAUUCCUGGUGUAGCGGUGGAAUGCGCAGAUAUCAGGAGGAACACCAAUAGCGAAGGCAGCUCGCUGGGACGUUACUGACACUGAGGCGCGAAAGCGUGGGGAGCAAACAGG